GAUGAAGAACGUAGCGAAAUGCGAUAAGUAAUGUGAAUUGCAGAAUUCAGUGAAUCAUCGAAUCUUUGAACGCACCUUGCGCCCUUUGGCUAUUCCGAAGGGCAUGCCUGUUUGAGUAUCAUGAACACCUCAACUCUCAUGGCUUGCCAUGAUGAGCUUGGACUAUGGGGGUCUUGCUGGCCUGUGGUCGGCUCCUCUCAAAUGAAUCAGCUUGCCGGUGUUUGGUGGCGUCACAGGUGUGAUAACUAUCUACGCUUGUGGUGUUUUCCACCAGGUAACCUUCAGCAAUGGAGGUUCGCUGGAGCUCAUAGAUGUCUCUCCUCAGUGAGGACAGCCCUUUGAAUGUUUGAUCUCAAAUCAGGUAGGACUACCCGCUGAACUUAAGCAUAUCAAUAAGCGGAGGA
rnacentral:misc_RNA from 1 species